UUGGAGGGCAAGUCUGGUGCCAGCAGCCGCGGUAAUUCCAGCUCCAAUAGCGUAUAUUAAAGUUGUUGCAGUUAAAAAGCUCGUAGUUGAAUUUCGGGAUCAAAUUGUCGGUCGUGCCUCGGUACGCACUGGUAUUAUUGGUUCCUACCUUCUGAAGAACCGCGAUGUCAUUAAUUUGGUGUCGUGGGGAAUCAGGACUGUUACUUUGAAAAAAUUAGAGUGUUUAAAGCAGGCUUACGCUUGAAUACAUUAGCAUGGAAUAAUGAAAUAGGACGUUUGAUUCUAUUUUGUUGGUUUCUAGGAUUGACGUAAUGAUUAAUAGGGAUAGUUGGGGGCAUUAGUAUUCAAUUGUCAGAGGUGAAAUUCUUGGAUUUAUUGAAGACUAACUACUGCGAAAGCAUUUGCCAAGGAUGUUUUCAUUAAUCAAGAACGAAAGUUAGGGGAUCGAAGACGAUCAGAUACCGUCGUAGUCUUAACCAUAAACUAUGCCGACUAGGGAUCGGAUGAUGUUAAUUUUUUUAAUGACUCAUUCGGCGCCUUCGGAAAC
rnacentral:rRNA from 1 species